AGACAUAAAAUGUAAAACUGUUUAAGUCAGUUCUCAUUAGCACAGCUGUAUAAAUGCUGUAAAUAAAAUACUUAUAAGCGCAAGUGAAAUUAAACAAAAAGGCAAACAAACUGACGGCUCUCCUAAUAGAAAGUUAUAAACAUGGGCAUGGAGAGCACCAUCAAGGGCGGAUCCAGCUUUGGCGCCAGGAGGGGGUCACAUAGUCGUGGUCAAGUCAAGAACUUAUAGUUUAAUUUUGAUAACAAUAGAUACAAGUAAAAAGUAGGUAUUUUAUUAAUGUACGUAAGUACUGUACAUAAAAAUAUUUAUUCUUUAUUGGACACUUGAAAAUCUUAACACAUAAUAACUUGUACAUAUACACGUACAUAUUGCCAUCUUCUCUUGAAGACAUCCAAAGAAGAGAUGCGUUUGUUCCCAAUAGUUUGCCAUCAUACCUAGUUAUUAUAUUAAAAUAAUUAAAUAUUGAAGGUAUGUAGUUACAUAAAAUCUGUAUGAUGACAAAAUAUAUAAAUAAAAUCAUUAUGCUCAAUUAGUGGUCCACCUAAGUCCUGGAACCAGCUCAGCGGGGGGUCAUGACCAGGACCUCCCCCCCUCCCCAUAGAUCCGCCGUUGAGCACCAUGGACAUUACAGAAUACACGAUGGUGCCCAAGCUACUUCUUAUAAGUUGCCAUUCCUGAGGACAGUGGCGUUAUGCCUCUGUAAUUACUCUGUCAUAUUUUACCCUUUUAACUGAAACAAUUAUGCAAAUAAAUUGCUUGAGUAAAAAAAGCUGAUAACUUUUGUAUUGUCUCCUUUUGAUAAAUGGAAUCGAGGUAAAAAAAAAUUACUUAUAAACUUUUAUAUUAUUAAAUAAAGUUUAUUUAAUUAUCAAGUGUAUAUUCUUAUAAUAUAUUACUAACUUUUUUUUAUAUUAUGUAUACCUAAUAUAAGAUUUUAUGCUUUAAUUACAAAGCUUUUAGAUACUUUUUCCUUUUGAUUCUCAAGAUUGACUGGAAAAUAUUUUUUUAAAGAAUAAGUUCACCUGCGUACCUUGUUUUUUUGUUUAUAACCUAAUAUUUACUAUGUACUAAUAUUUAAAUAUGAAAUAAAGCUUAUAAUAUUUUGACAACAUAUGUCUUUUCCCCUAUUCACCCAGGUUCAGGCGGGUGACCAAAGAUUUCGGAAUUCCUUGUUCUUAGAUAAAAAUUUUACAACUAUACAAUUUUAGAUGUUUAUUUUCUCAAACAUAAAUAGGAAUAACACACAUUUUGCUGUAAAUGAUUAAUUAUUGCUUUUUUGAAAUAUUUUUUAUUUAAUUGUAAAACUUAACAAUACUUUAAAUGAGAAACUUUACAUCAAAUUCAAGAAAUAUAAAGGUGAAGUUCGAUAUUGUGCUUAUUUACCCCAGUUUACGAUACCUCAG